rnacentral:tRNA from 1 species
GCUGUAGCUCAGUUGGUUAGAGCACUGGUUUGUGGUACCAGGGGUCGCGGGUUCGAGUCCCGUUAGC